UCUUCAGGCGAACAUUGACAUCGAAGUGAUACCCUAUGAUAUCAAGAAAAAUCCUAUGGAACAAAGAAGCAGAUAAUGAUCACAGAAGUGCAACAAAGAGCACCAGGACCUGAUCAUCAAAUGUUAUGGUGUAGAUCUAAUCAGGAACAAGACACCUAAGUUGAACUCUGGCAAGGUUGUCCCAUGCAGAAGGUUUGAUACCCAGGCUUCUUUUGUACAAGUCCCUAGUCCACCCUCAUCUUGAGAACUGUUCCGGUGUCUGGGAUCCCUACAACAUCUCAGAUGUCCAGGACGCUACUUCACAAUGGGGACCACAAGAGAAGCAGCAGUUUGACUGAGAUGAUCAGCACCUUUUAGUUGCCUACUAUAUCUACAACUACAAGGCACUCUGCAAGAAGACUGGGAAUGGUGCACAAGAUAGUCAAUGGUCUCUCCGCUCUUCCUUGAAAAUUUUCCCACUGCACUACUUAUAGCUACUUGCGCCCUCUAUAUAGCAAACAAUGCCUAAUCUGUGCCUGUUGGUCCCCCAUGAUCCUCUUUUUCUUAUAUUAAUUG